UACGUAUGGUGCAAGCGUUAUCCGGAUUUACUGGGUGUAAAGGGAGCGCAGGCGGCACGGCAAGCCUGAUGUGAAAGCCCGCGGCCCAACCGCGGGACUGCAUUGGGAACUACCUGGCUGGAGUGCCGGAGAGGUAGGCGGAAUUCCUAGUGUAGCGGUGAAAUGUGUAGAUAUUAGGAGGAACACCAGUGGCGAAGGCGGCCUACUGGACGGUGACUGACGCUGAGGCUCGAAAGCGUGGGGAGCAAACAGG
rnacentral:rRNA from 1 species